UUUUUUACGACAAAAUUGUGUCUUGAAAACACAAUGAAGAGGUUAAAUUCCUCUAAAAACU
rnacentral:tRNA from 1 species